GUUACUUGGAACUGGAACUCAGACAGAGCGAGUAAAAGACAGCAUCAGAUGCUGGCCCCGAGAGAUCUCGAAGAGGGGCAGCCCUUCGGGGCAUGUGUGCUGCUCUUCAAGGAGGGGAGGUUGUCUGCAGGGAGAAGAGAGCGGAAGUCCAAGGGGCCAAGGGAGGGAGAUCAGGUUUUCCUUAUUUUUUGCCAGGUUUUCUGCUUCUGAUCCCUCAUGAAGCUUUGGUCAUAAGGUACCUCUCUAUCCCUUUACUUCGAGAAAGCUCCACAUGUCAGGACAAGUGCUUUGGAGGAAAAGCAAGACUUCAUCCAGUCGUCAGUAGAAAACCUUGGUGGCUGCAGUUCCUGUGACUUACAAAAAGGAUACACAGGAGAAGAGGGUAUUAACAUGAUACAGCUCACAUGGUGGAGAAGUGAGGUCUCCUGCCAUCAGCAUGUGAGGGAGCCACCUUGGAAGCAGCCCUUCCAGCCUUCGGCUGAAGGUGACCCCACCUGAAGGCUGACACACUCACUGCUACCUCGAGAGACCCUGAGCCACCCAGAGACCCUGUUCUCAAAUUCUUCAACCGUGAGAAAAUAAAUGUUUGUUAUUGUAAGGCACUAAAAAAAUAAAAUAAA